GAGCGUAUAGCUCAGGUGGUAAGAGUGCAUGCUUAGCAUGCAUGAGGUCCUGGGUUCAAUCCCCAGUACCUGCU
rfam:Camelus ferus isolate Naran unplaced genomic scaffold scaffold108105, whole genome shotgun sequence.